AUGAGUACUUCCUUCAUGGAUUCAUCAAACCCUGCUUACUUGCACUUUAUAUCAAAAUGGUCUCAAACUGCAGCCCUGCAUACAAGACAAUUCACCAAUUUUGUUAACUUCUCCACCAGUUCAAGUAUCCAAAACCAGAAUAAAUAUCAAUAUGACCGUGACCUGCAUCAAUUAUCCAACAGUCCAGAUCUGCAUUCUGUUCACACCAGAAAAAUCAGAAAAUGGAAGAAAAUAUCAGAACAGAAAAUCAGAAGUAAAGAAGCCUACAGCUUCCAAGCCCAAAGCCAAGUCAAAGGCUAA